AAAACAUCAGUCAAACCCUUUCCUUAAACCUAAACCCAAAAACUCAUACAAAUCAUUCCUUCUCAAAUCACCACCCACCAACUUUUUCUUCAUUUCAUUUUUUCCUCAAAACCUUUCGUUCUCUAACAUUCACAACUCAUCCCCUUCAUUAAGUUUCAACCAUAAUCACCUUUAUUCCAAACCUUUUGCUUCAUAUUCAAGCUCAAC
rnacentral:lncRNA from 1 species